ACAGCUUACAUCUGUCUUGAGCCUUUCACGCAUCCAAAUGUCUUUCCGAAUGGAUUGGUGAGCACCAAGGAGAACAGAGCUGUAGGAUUGCUUGACCGGCUGGAACAGUUGGAGAUGGGAAAUUAUGUGAUGAGAACUCCUGGAAUACUUGAAACCAGAACUGGCAAGUGUUGAUCAGAGGAAGGCCUGGCAAAUGAAGGCACUUGCAACAUUCGAAGUGUUGGGUAUUUCCAGGUUGCCCAUCCUCUGGGUGAAGAAAUUGGUGUGAGAGCAGCUGGUGACAUCAAAACCAACAUGGCC